rnacentral:rRNA from 1 species
AGUUGUAAUUUGCAGAGGGCGCUUUGGCUUUGGCAGCGGUCCAAGUUCCUUGGAACAGGACGUCACAGAGGGUGAGAAUCCCGUACGUGGUCGCUGGCUAUUGCCGUGUAAAGCCCCUUCGACGAGUCGAGUUGUUUGGGAAUGCAGCUCUAAAUGGGAGGUACAUUUCUUCUAAAGCUAAAUAUUGGCCAGAGACCGAUAGCGCACAAGUAGAGUGAUCGAAAGAUGAAAAGCACUUUGGAAAGAGAGUCAAACAGCACGUGAAAUUGUUGAAAGGGAAGCGCUUGCAGCCAGACUUGCUUACAGUUGCUCAUCCGGGUUUCUACCCGGUGCACUCUUCUGUAGGCAGGCCAGCAUCAGUUUGGGCGGUAGGAUAAAGGUCUCUGUCACGUACCUCCUUUCGGGGAGGCCUUAUAGGGGAGACGACAUACUACCAGCCUGGACUGAGGUCCGCGCAUCUGCUAGGAUGCUGGCGUAAUGGCUGUAAGCGGCCCGUCUUGAAACACGGACCAAGGAGUCUAACAUCUAUGCGAGUGUUUGGGUGUCAAGCCCGAGCGCGUAAUGAAAGUGAACGGAGGUGGGAACCCGCAAGGGUGCACCAUCGACCGAUCCUGAUGUCUUCGGAAGGAUUUGAGUAAGAGCAUGGCUGUUGGGACCCGAAAGAUGGUGAACUAUGCUUGAAUAGGGUGAAGCCAGAGGAAACUCUGGUGGAGGCUCGCAGCGGUUCUGACGUGCAAAUCGAUCGUCAAA